rnacentral:rRNA from 1 species
AUUGAACGCUAGCGGGAUGCUUUACACAUGCAAGUCGAACGUGUGGCGGACGGGUGAGUAAUAUAUCGGAACGUGCCCAGUAGCGGGGGAUAACUACUCGAAAGAGUGGAUAAUCCCGCAUACUAUUGGAGCGGCAGAUAUCGGAUUAGCUAGUUGGUGGGGUAAAGGCUCACCAAGGAAACGAUCCGUAGGUGGUUUGAGGGGACGACCAGUCACACGGGGACGGAGACACGGCCCAGACUCCUACGUGAGGCAGCAGUGGGGAAUUUUGGACAAUGAGGGAAAGCCUGAUCCAGCCAUCCCGCGUGUAUGAGAAGGCCUUCGGGUUGUAAAGUACUUUUGGCAGAGAAGCGGUAUCUGCAGAAUAAGCACCGGCUAACUACGUGCCAGCCGCCGCGGUAAUAC